rnacentral:rRNA from 1 species
ACAUGCAAGUGGAGCGACGACGGGCUGCCCCGGGGCAGAGCCGCGAACGGGUGAGUAACACGUGGGUAACCUGCCUCAAUGAUUGGACGAACCGGGAACUCGGGCUAAUACCAAAUGUGUUCACUCCUUCCGAAGGGGAGUGAGGAAAGGAAGCUUCGGCCUCCGCAUUGAGAUGGGCCCGCGGCCCAUUAGCUUGUUGGUGAGGUAACGGCUCACCAAGGCUUCGAUGGGUAGCUGGUCCGAGAGGACGAUCAGCCACACUGGGACUGAGACACGGCCCAGACUCCUACGGGAGGUAGCAGUGGGGAAUCUUGCACAAUGCGCGAAAGCGUGAUGCAGCAACGCCGCGUGGGGAAGACGGCCUUCGGGUUGUAAACCCCUUUCAGUUGGGACGAAGCUUCGUCGGUGAAUAGCCGGUUGGAGUGACGGUACCUUCAGAAGAAGCCCCGGCUAACUACGUG